rnacentral:rRNA from 1 species
UGAGGAAUAUUGGUCAAUGGGCGCAAGCCUGAACCAGCCAUGCCGCGUGCAGGAUGAAGCAUCUAUGGUGUGUAAACUGCUUUUGUACGGGAAGAAACCACCCCUCGUGAGGGGUAUUGACGGUACCGUAAGAAUAAGGAUCGGCUAACUCCGUGCCAGCAGCCGCGGUAAUACGGAGGAUCCAAGCGUUAUCCGGAAUCAUUGGGUUUAAAGGGUCCGUAGGCGGUUUAAUAAGUCAGUGGUGAAAGCCCAUCGCUCAACGAUGGAACGGCCAUUGAUACUGUUGGACUUGAAUUACAAGGAAGUAACUAGAAUAUGUAGUGUAGCGGUGAAAUGCUUAGAUAUUACAUGGAAUACCAAUUGCGAAGGCAGGUUACUACUUGUGGAUUGACGCUGAUGGACGAAAGCGUGGGGAGCGAAC